CGGAGCCCGUUCGGGGAGCCGGGCCGGCCAGGGGAGGAGGAAGUCCAGCCCGGCGAGGACUGCAGCAGGUGGGAAGCUCCGUCGCCCGGCUUCUGCGGCUGCCUAAUUGCAGUCUAGCCUGAGUUGAAGCUUCCUACCCUUCACUGAGGCUGCUUUCCGGGUUCUCUCGGAGGUGGGACGUCUGUGCUGUUCGUGCUCCCGGAGGGGCUUACAAGGAAUUUUUCAUCAGCUGCAGAUCAGGGCAUUGAUUAUCACACUGCUGGUAGAUAAUGGACAUUUGCCAUUGGCCAUGGAUGGUCUGCAUAGCUGUGGAGCCUAGAGAUACUGAUGUGGCAGAGCUGCUGUUGUGACCAUGUCAGUCUCUGAAUGCACUAUGGUCUUCUGGUGUCUGUGCACAGGUUACUGUGGGAAAACCUCUAGGAUGCUUCCUGUUGAUGAUGCUAGAAUCUCUACAACAGCAGCCUCUCGAAGACCCGUCUUGUGGAUCUUUGAAUAUUGUUGAUUAUACAGAAGUGCUAAUGAAGAACUGAAUUAAAAUGGAAAAGCAGCAACAUAAAAAGCAAAAAUAAUGAAACUGAGAGAUAGGAUCAAUGGGGGACUUUUCUCUUAAAACUCAACUCAUCAUAAAACUUCAUUUGUGUGGAAUAACAUCUAUAGCAUAUCCCCUUACUUGUGUUCAAAUGCAAGAUUGAGCAUUAUUGAUCUUUGUCUAAAAAAUGACCCACAACAGAGAUAAUGUUUUCCAGGACAAUAGCUACAUAUUGCUAGAUCCAUAGUUUUAAAUCCAAAAUGCUAUGCUUCAUGGGGUCCUAGAAUAAAAAUCUACAACUAUGCACAUAAAAUCAGGCUUCAAAUUUAUUUUAGGUUUCAAAAUGACACUGUUACUGUAUUUUUAAGAUAGGAAAAAAUAGAACAGUAAAUACCAUUUUAUGACAUUGAAAAAUUUUAAAAAUUCAAGUUUUGUGAAAUUCACAAACUUUUGCUAGAAUGCAGCCACUUUCAUUUCUUUACAGAAACAAAUAGUUUUUUAACUACAAUGGCAAGGUGAAUGAGUGAGACAGAGAACUUCUGUAGCCCACAAAGUCUGAAGUAUUUGUUCUCUGGACUGUAGAAAAAGUUGGCAAACUCCUACCCUGAAAUAAUGCUCUACAGCAUCAGGUAAAAUAGAGUAAAAGAAUGUGUGGCUGCUGCUCCUUGCCUGUGAUCCUUGGAGUGUGAGAAAAUUUAAUGAACAAUUUAAUUGCUGGCUCCUUCUAAUUAAAGCAGAGGUAAAAUGCUCAUACAUUCAUUUUAGAAUGAACAAUAUGAUUGUGAAAUAUGUAUUCAAACAAGAAAUGUUUUCUGUUCAAACUAAUUAUAGUUAAUAAGUUUUGAUUAAUUACUCUUAACAUAUUAAAAACAAGUGGCAUUGACUUGAGUUUACAAAAGAGAAUUGAGAAUCUUAUCAAUGUAAAUGAUUAUAAUUAAUGAAUAUAAGAUUCUAUAGAGAUUAUUUUUCACCAUUGUAUACUUUCCAGAUCUCAGCAAACCUGUAACUAGGCUGUUUUGAGCUUGCUUUUCUCCCACAGAAUUCUGAGAGACCGGUAAACAACUAGGGAAAUUGUUCAGAUCUUGAACUUGACCUUGUUAGUGAUUAAUAGCUGCUAUACUAAAGAAUCUAUAAUUUUCAAGGACCAACAUAAAAAAACAACAAAUAAUUGAAUAUAUUGAAUUGUUUUAUACUGCAAAUUAUGUUCUAAAAUAUGUUUACUAAUUUCAUUUAACUUUGAAUGUAGAUGACGCUCGUGUAUGAUUUCAUUUCUUCAGAAGCACAAUCUAUGUGUUGUAUCAACUUUUUGGAUUUCAUCAGCCCUUUCCUUUCUCUCUCUCUCUCUCUGUCUCUGUCUCUGUCUCUUUCUCUCCGUUUCUCUCUCUCUCCGUUUCUCUCUCUCUCUCUCUCUCUCACUUUCUUUCUUUUUUGGACUAGGGAUUGAACUCAGGGUCUUUAAACUGAGCUGUAUCUCUAGUUUUUAAAACAUGUUUUAUUUACAGAUAAGGUAUUUUUGCACAGACUGAGCACAAAAGUAUAAUUCUCCUGCCUAAUCCUCCCACAGUGCUGGAAUUACAUUCCACUGCUGCCACACCCAUCUGUGUCUUUUUCCCUAUUUUUCUUCAGGACUAAAAUUAGGAUGAGACAAAUAAGACUCUGUUUAUUUCAGAUGUAAAAUAUAAGAGGCAGCAAAAACAAAGAAACUUCUCAAUAAUUAGGAAAAUAAUAUAUCAAGACACAAUUUUUCUUGAGCAAAAAUCAGACAAAAUAGUCCAGGAUAAACAAAAUAGGUCAUUGAUAAGCACACACAAGAAACAGAUAGAUAGGUAGAUCAAUAGUUAGGUAAUCAGAUGUCUGAGUGGUGGCCCAAUGGUAUUUUUAGUGGGUCAGGCUCUCAUAUUUCUGCUCUAAAUGAUCUAAUUGAUGUGAUUAUGAUUCAGUUUUAUUUUCCAUAUGUUUUAGCACUCUUUUAUAUUUCUCUAUGUAUUAUUUCAUGAUAAAGAACAACAACAACAACGAAACUAUUAAGGAAUAUUAAAGGGCCGGGUAUGUAGCUCAGUGGUGUAAAUGCCUACCUGGCAAGCACAAGGCCCUGAGUUCAAUUCCCGGUGGAAAAGAGAAAGAAAGAAAGAAAGAAAGAAAGAAAGAAAGAAAGAAAGAAAGAAAGAAAGAAAGAAAGAAAGAAAGAAAGAAAGAAAGAAAGAAAGAAAGAAAGAAAGAGAAAGGAGAAAUAUUAAGGAGUACAAAGAAGACAAAACUGCCUUUUCAUUGCUGCUGAGGAUUGUAAACUCCAUUAAGGCUCUGAAGUAAUUCUGAUCUUUGUUACUGAAAGGCAACAAAAGACAGAGUCAAAUCUCUUCCAGCACAUAGAUGCUGCAAUUUUAUAUCUCUACUCAUUAGGAUAAAAAAAUAAAACUAAGUUAUUUGUAUAAUAUUUUAUUCUUUAUUAAAUAAGUGAAUAUAGAAAUAGUUCUUAGUCAAUAUGAAUUCCUUAGUGGGCAAAGCUGAGGGAAAUUCUCUUACUGGAUAAGUAGAAUGUAUGUUUUCAUUCCCAUUUUCAGGAACUCUUUUGCAGAAGACAAAUUCAAGCAAAACUGCCUCUAUGAACCUAACUGCAAAGUUAUCAAAGACUUGUUCUUUCCGGAAAUUCCUAAAAGUUGAUAGAAGUUUGAUUUUCCCUGAAUUGUCUCCAAUAUAUCUAAGUUACAAAUUCAACUAAAUUAUUUUAGUAAGUUAAAUUGUCAGUUUGUUUUAACACCAAAGCCUUACUACUCAGUAAACAGAGCUUUUGGCUCCUGUUCAUUUGAAUAUUUUCAUUAAAAGCAAGAGAAAUGAAUUCAUCUGAUCAUUAACUCUCCUGUACUAGAUUUGCAGUUCUACUAUUAAUGGUAUGAAAUAGCUAGAUUUACAGUCAGAUCAUGAAAAUCUUCAUGAAAAUUGAUUUGUUACGAGACAUUGAUUUUCUAUUUUGCUAACAUUUAGGUCGUUACAUAAUGACUAUAGUGUCAUAGAGGAAAGUUACCUAUUCAUGCAGUGCAUGUGGUCCAAAUUUCAGAGCUGCUUCCAGGAGAAAAAAGAACAGAGGGUGAAAAUCAAAUGAAGACAGAUGGAUUUUAGAAGUCGUAACUUACUGCAUCUCAUGGGAAAACUUAGGAGAAAAACUCAUCAGACAUUGAAAAGAAAUAAAAGAAGCCCGUUGAUUUGAUUCAUUCUUGAAUUUUAGUAUCUAAUAAAAUGGAACAAAACAUUCUAAUUACCACAAACAUGAUGUGAGUCUUCUAAAUUCUUUAUAGUCAAAAUUUUAAAGAGAUUUGAUUAUCCUUAAAAUUAAAUAUAUACCAAAGAUCCAUGAAUAAAUUCAUUUGCUCCCCUUCUCCUGAUUUGUGUUUUGUUUCAUUUUGUUUUAUUUGUUUUACAAACAUGGGAGCAAAGUGGAGGGAGAUCUUUCUUAUGAACCCUUCCCCCAGAGUUCUGUGUUUUCCUUGGCACCAACUAAAAUGGUAGAAAUUUUCCUCAAUGCCAUUUGGUCUGUUAGACAUAAAGUUGUUAGAUCAACUUUUGAAACUUCUAUAUGAAUAUAAGUCCCCUGAGAGUCACAUAAUUUAAGUGGUCAUCAUAGACAAACAGGUAGCCAUGAGCUACACUUCAUCCUCCACGACUUGGGUGUUAUAGUCGUGUGACACUCACCAUGCUGUCGUUCUGUACUUUCUUCUGUUUGUUAUCCAUACUUAGUUUAAUGUGAUGAUCUCUGAGGAUUGAGCCAAAGAUUCUGCUACCACUGUUAGUAAUAUUAUCACCAUUAUCACUGUUGUUUUCAGGACAGAUGGUAAACUGAAAAUCAUCAUGGUCCAUCACUGGACAUGAAUUUAAAAACAGUGGUAUUUUCUGAUUUUUUCAAUACAAUGUUCUUAACAAGCAGUUACAUUUCCUUCAUACCAGUUUCUGGAAAACUAAGUAGACUGAGAGUGCUCAUUGCAAAUGAUAGAGAACCAAGAAGAGACUAUUUGAAAUUUUCAAGAAUGUUUCUUUUAUCAGUAUUUGUAAAUAGCAAUAGGAACAAGUUUUUUUGAGCCUCUUUCUUGUGGUCAUGUUAUGAUAUUCAACAAAAGCAGUGAUUUAGGGUAGCUACCCUGUUAUAACAAUAAUUUUGCUACCAACUAAAUAUAAGUACAUCGCUCAUUUAUAUAUUGCAGUUGAAUUUAGGACAGCCACAGGAUGCUACAUAUUAGAGUUUCAUUUAUGUCAUAUGGGCCUGUUUUUCAAUACUCUUAAAAUAAAUGGAUUAUUCAUUAGCACAGUCACUGCAAUCAGUGCCAUAAUAUACACUCAAACACAUCUUUAAAAAUAUUUAUUAAAAGACUUAUUUGUGUGGAAUCCGUCACUCUCUUUUUAUUUUAUUACACUUUCAAAGAAAAGUCAACCUUUUUUGACCUUCGGUGGAUUUUUUGGAAAUAAUCCUGUAAGAUUUUAACAUUUCUUACCUCUGUGUUAUAUAAUAGUGAGUAUUUAAAUCAUGAAGAGUAAGGUUUUUUUUGUUGUUUUUUGCAGAGGAUCAAACUCACAACCUCGCCUUGCCAGGCAGUUGCCACUGAGGUACACCCCUAGACCCAUGAAGAGUAAAUUUAAAAUUAAAUUUUAAAAAGAAUUUGUAUAUCAAACUAUGUUUCCCAAAUAAAGGCAUUAUCAAAAUCACUAAGAUUUGUUUUCUCUCUCUCUCUUCCCUGCAAAACUGAAUGCAAGAAACCGUCUGUUGAUAAAGAAAUGACAAUAGUAAAUGGGGGCCAUAAGACACAUUUUGACAUUAUACACAAA